rnacentral:rRNA from 1 species
UACGAAGGGGGCAAGCGUUGUUCGGAAUUACUGGGCGUAAAGGCGCGUAGGCGGCCGAUCAAGUCAGGCGUGAAAUCCCCGAGCUCAACUCGGGAACUGCGUCCGAUACUGGUGGGCUUGAAUCCGGGAGAGGGAUGCGGAAUUCCAGGUGUAGCGGUGAAAUGCGUAGAUAUCUGGAGGAACACCGGUGGCGAAGGCGGCAUCCUGGACCGGUAUUGACGCUGAGGCGCGAAAGCGAGGGGAG